AUUGCCUUCAAUCCAUGUGGACGUGCUUUCAGCUUUUUCUCCCCCUGCCCUUAUGAUUACACAAUGGAAAGGAAAACAACCACAGUGGGUCUUCCUUGUUGGAGGCUAUAACAUUGGGUGUUCCCUUCCAUCACCUGUGUUUUGGGUUUUACCCUAACCAACGUCAGGAUCCUUUCAUCUGAGGUGACAGAAAUCUACAAAUAUAGUAACAAUGCAAUCUGUUGCAGGAGAAAGCAAAGAAGAAAUUUUGGAACACCCUGCUCAGAGUCAGAUCCUUAGCCACCCAGAAGCAUGACCACAAGAGGGCCUGGAUCACGUUGGAAAGAGACAAGUUUGUCUGUGAUGCUCCUCCUCUCUCCAAUUCUGGGAUUUCUUCAGGCUACAGGAAACCCACACAGAGGGAUUCCAUGGGGCCAUUCUGGUCACCGGACAUGCCAGCAAACCAAGGCCCUGGACCUUCAAGUCUUCACAGCUGGAACAGAACCAACCUGGCCCCACUGUGCCCUGACUUCUUGGCCCAUAGCCUUCAGGUGGGUGUAAGAAAAUGGUUAUUUUCAGCAGCUAAGUUUUGAGGUAAUUUGUUACACAGCAGUGGUCUCUGGAACAAUCCUUUUGCUCCAUUCCCACCUCUGA
rnacentral:lncRNA from 1 species